rnacentral:rRNA from 1 species
GACGAACGCUGGCGGCGUGCUUAACACAUGCAAGUCGAACGGUAAGGCCCCAGCUUGCUGGGGUACACGAGUGGCGAACGGGUGAGUAACACGUGGGUGACCUGCCCUGCACUUCGGGAUAAGCCUGGGAAACUGGGUCUAAUACCGGAUAGGACCGCACCGUGAGGGUGUGGUGGAAAGUUUUUCGGUGUGGGAUGGGCCCGCGGCCUAUCAGCUUGUUGGUGGGGUAAUGGCCUACCAAGGCGGCGACGGGUAGCCGGCCUGAGAGGGUGGACGGCCACCUUGGGACUGAGACACGGCCCAGACUCCUACGGGAGGCAGCAGUGGGGAAUAUUGCACAAUGGGCGGAAGCCUGAUGCAGCGACGCCGCGUGGGGGAUGACGGCCUUCGGGUUGUAAACUCCUUUCACCAUCGACGAAGGUUUUCUGACGGUAGAUGGAGAAGAAGCACCGGCUAACUACGUG